GACGAACGCUGGCGGCGUGCUUAACACAUGCAAGUCGAACGGAAAGGCCCUGCUUUUGUUGGUUGCUCGAGUGGCGAACGGGUGAGUAACACGUGAGUAACCUGCCCUUGACUUUGUGAUAACUUCAGGAAACUGGGGCUAAUACCGGAUAGGAGCUCCUGCUGCAUGGUGGGGGUUGGAAAGUUUCGGCGGUUGGGGAUGGACUCGCGGCUUAUCAGCUUGUUGGUGGGGUAGUGGCUUACCAAGGCUUUGACGGGUAGCCGGCCUGAGAGGGUGAACGGCCACAAUGGGCCUGAGAUACGGCCCAGACGCCUACGGGAGGCAGCAGUGGGGAAUAUUGCACAGUGGGCGGAAGCCUGAUGCAGCAACGCCGCGUGCGGGAUGCCCGCCUUCGGGUUGUAAACCGCUUUCGCCUGUGACGAAGCGUGAGUGACGGUAAUGGGUAAAGAAGCACCGGCUAACUACGUG
rnacentral:rRNA from 1 species